rnacentral:rRNA from 1 species
UACGGGGGGGGGCAAGCGUUGUUCGGAAUUACUGGGCGUAAAGGGCGCGUAGGCGGCCUGCUAAGUCGGAUGUGAAAUCCCUCGGCUCAACCGAGGAACUGCAUCCGAUACUGGCGGGCUUGAAUCCGGGAGAGGGAUGUGGAAUUCCAGGUGUAGCGGUGAAAUGCGUAGAUAUCAGGAGGAACACCAAUGGCGAAGGCAGCUCGCUGGGACGGUACUGACGCUGAGACGCGAAAGCGUGGGGAGCAAACAGG